rnacentral:rRNA from 1 species
CCGCAUAAGCCCACGGGUCGGCAUCGACCAGAGGGAAAAGGAGCAAUCCGCUUUGAGAUGGCCUCGCGUCCGAUUAGCUAGUUGGUGAGGUAACGGCCCACCAAGGCAACGAUCGGUAGCCGGACUGAGAGGUUGAACGGCCACAUUGGGACUGAGACACGGCCCAGACUCCUACGGGAGGCAGCAGUGGGGAAUAUUGCACAAUGGGGGAAACCCUGAUGCAGCGACGCCGCGUGGAGGAAGAAGGUCUUCGGAUUGUAAACUCCUGUUGUUGAGGAAGAUAAUGACGGUACUCAACAAGGAAGUGACGGCUAACUACGUGCCAGCAGCCGCGGUAAAACGUAGGUCACAAGCGUUGUCCGGAAUUACUGGGUGUAAAGGGAGCGCAGGCGGGAAGACAAGUUGGAAGUGAAAUCCAUGGGCUCAACCCAUGAACUGCUUUCAAAACUGUUUUUCUUGAGUAGUGCAGAGGUAGGCGGAAUUCCCGGUGUAGCGGUGGAAUGCGUAGAUAUCGGGAGGAACACCAGUGGCGAAGGCGGCCUACUGGGCACCAACUGACGCUGAGGCUCGAAAGUGUGGGUAGCAAACAGGAUUAGAUACCCUGGUAGUCCACACCGU